rnacentral:lncRNA from 1 species
AAAAUGAUAUAGAAUAAAUGGGGACAACGAAAUAGAAUACCCAGUACAAUUUUUAUAACAUAUAUAUAGGGAUAUUUUUGAUAAAAAACUAACAAGAAAUAAAUAAAAUUCAUUUAUAAUAGUAGAAAGCCAAAUCAAACCCUUAACCGAUCCAAUUUUGGUUAGAUGCGACAAGGAAUACUAUAUCAAAUUUUAUUAGAAUACUAUUAACGCUGAGCACAACUCCUCUUUUGUUUUAUUGUUUUUUUGGAAAUAGUGCCGAAUAUGUCCCCCAAAGGAUAAGGAAUAAUAAUCAGUUCAUAGUUCUAAGAUAACAUUAGAGACGAGCAAGUUAAAUUUGUGGCUCUUUUCCCAAACGGAGUAUGAAAUAAACCUAAGCAGAAAAUAAGAAAGUUUGUCAGCAUAUUUUAUUAAACUUACUAUUCCUCGGUCAAAUUUAUACUAUGAAAUUUGCUUUUCGAUGAAAUCUAUAAAAUUGUAAGCAAAUUGAAAGAAAAGAAAAAGCGACAUAUGAAACAAUUUGUAACCAACCAAAGAAAAUCAC